rnacentral:snRNA from 1 species
GUGUGGAGGAACUGACAGCAGCUUCUGUUAUUCCACUGAUGGCCAGGGUUGCUUUGGUUGACUUGUCUGGCUUGGCAGGUAUCUUCUUCUUCUCUUGCUGCUAUAUAAUGUCCCUCCGGAGACCAGCAGAUGAUCUUCCCCAGCAGGGGAGGACAUUUCUCCAGUCAAGGGUAAAGCAGACACUGUACUUCCCUGCCAAAGCAAGCCCUAAAGAGCAGGAGAGUAGGGGCUCUAGGGUGUGCUAUGGAGUUUCAGAGAUAGGGCAGUUCUAGCUCACUCU